GAUGAACGCUGGCGGCGUGCCUAAUACAUGCAAGUCGAGCGAACAGACGAGGAGCUUGCUCCUUCGACGUUAGCGGCGGACGGGUGAGUAACACGCAGGUAACCUACCUAUAAGACUGGGAUAACUUCGGGAAACCGGAGCUAAUACCGGAUAAUAUUUCGAACCGCAUGGUUCGAUAGUGAAAGAUGGCUUUGCUAUCACUUAUAGAUGGACCUGCGCCGUAUUAGCUAGUUGGUAAGGUAACGGCUUACCAAGGCAACGAUACGUAGCCGACCUGAGAGGGUGAUCGGCCACACUGGAACUGAGACACGGUCCAGACUCCUACGGGAGGCAGCAGUAGGGAAUCUUCCGCAAUGGGCGAAAGCCUGACGGAGCAACGCCGCGUGAGUGAUGAAGGUCUUCGGAUCGUAAAACUCUGUUAUUAGGGAAGAACAAACGUGUAAGUAACUGUGCACGUCUUGACGGUACCUAAUCAGAAAGCCACGGCUAACUACGUG
rnacentral:rRNA from 1 species